rnacentral:rRNA from 1 species
CGGAACGUACCCUGGAGUGGGGGAUAACGUAGCGAAAGUUACGCUAAUACCGCAUACGAUCUAAGGAUGAAAGUGGGGGAUUCGCAAGAACCUCAUGCUCCUGGAGCGGCCGAUAUCUGAUUAGCUAGUUGGUGGGGUAAAGGCCUACCAAGGCAUCGAUCAGUAGCUGGUCUGAGAGGACGACCAGCCACACUGGAACUGAGACACGGUCCAGACUCCUACGGGAGGCAGCAGUGGGGAAUUUUGGACAAUGGGCGAAAGCCUGAUCCAGCAAUGCCGCGUGAGUGAAGAAGGCCUUCGGGUUGUAAAGCUCUUUUGUCAGGGAAGAAACGGUGGUUUCUAAUACAGAUCACUAAUGACGGUACCUGAAGAAUAAGCACCGGCUAACUACGUGCCAGCAGCCGCGGUAAUACGUAGGGUGCA